UACGUAGGGUGCAAGCGCUGUCCGGAAUUAUUGGGCGUAAAGAGCUCGUAGGUGGCCUGUCGCGUCGGCUGUGAAAACUCGGGGCUCAACUCCGAGCUUGCAGUCGAUACGGGCAGGCUAGAGUUCGGCAGGGGAGACUGGAAUUCCUGGUGUAGCGGUGAAAUGCGCAGAUAUCAGGAGGAACACCGGUGGCGAAGGCGGGUCUCUGGGCCGAUACUGACACUGAGGAGCGAAAGCGUGGGGAGCGAACAGG
rnacentral:rRNA from 1 species